rnacentral:rRNA from 1 species
UACAGAGGGUGCAAGCGUUAAUCGGAAUGACUGGGCGUAAAGCGUGUGUAGGUGGUUGGAUAAGUUAGAUGUGAACUCCCCGGGCUUAACCUGGGAACUGCGUUUAAGACUGUUUAACUAGAGUACUGUAGAGGAUAGUGGAAUUUCCAGUGUAGCGGUGAAAUGCGUAGAUAUUGGAAGGAACCCCAGUGGCGAAGGCGACUAUCUGGAUAGAUACUGACACUGAGCCGCGAAAGCGUGGGGAGCAAACAGG